CUCCCGGCAGCCUCCGGCAGAACACGCAGCAGCAGCAGCAGUUAGCGCUGAUGCAACUAUCGUUGCUGUUGCCACCGCCUCCCCACUGACGGGGCGUGCACCUGGGGGGUACUUGCAGUUUCCAGGGGCAACAAGCAUCUCUCUACCACCCUCUCCUGCGCCCCUGAGAGAGGCUGGCUCCAAGCUUGAUAUAGAAGACUAUCAUAUGAACCAGAAAGGGUAACUGAAACCAAAGAAAUGACUCCAGUAUCAAGCUAAAGACAUGCCUUAAAGGAUGAGGAGGAGCAGAAAUCUUACCAGCAAGGCAAGAAAGAAGCCGUACGUGAACAGCCUCUGCUUUAGGCCCAGAAGGAAAAGAAGCUUACAGGAGACAAUCAGUCUUACACUCUUCCAUGGUCACAAACAAGAGGUCCCUGGAUCUACAGAAAUGAAAGAACCAGAGCAUUAUAGCAGAACGAAUCCUGGAAUGGGAAUGGAAUGCCUGGAUUUGUGGCACAGUUGGGAAGCGUCCUGGCCAUGCCAUGUUAAAGCUGUCUCCAAGGCAGUGAUUCUUACCCUUGGCUACACAUUGGAGUCAUUUGGGAAGCUAGAAAAAAAAAAUGCCCAGGACCUGGGCAAGACGGCUGAAUAAGAACAGCUCUGGUCUGCAGUUCCUAGCAAGAUCAACGCAGAAGGGAAGCUGGCAGCCUGGGCUCUUGGAGAUUGUAUCUGGUGCCGGAGAGGACUGGCUCCCACACUCAGUGAGGGAGGAAUUUUACUGACCCAGCAUCCAGAUGAACUUUGGUGAGGAGAGGAGGACAUAAGAGCCUGGUGGUUGAUGAUGGAAGAGAUGAAACUGUGAAGAGACCGAAGAAGCUAAUCUAUCAAUAGUUAAGAUUCCAUUUCUAAAAGAUCUUACUUUGAGUCUACCUAUGCCUGGGAUGUCAAGAGACGGAGUUUCACUGUUGUUGCCCAGGCUGGAGUGCAGUGGCGUGAUUUCAGCUCACGGCUACCUCUGCCUCCCGGGUUCAAGCAAUUCUCCUGCCUCAGCCUCCCAAGUAGCUGGGAUUACAGAUCAUCUCUCUACUGACCUUUUAGUGGCUUAGCAUUUUGUUGCAAUGCACAAGUGAAGUUGGGAAACAGAGCCAAGUGACAAGCUGUGAAGUAACAGCUCAGCCUUCACAAAGCAAAUGUGCUUUGUGCACUUCCUUGCCAGAGCAGAUGUGGCCUUGGUGGACUGUGGGGAGCAUCAUCUCUCAGGUAAAAAUAAAUUACUAAGAUUAGGACCAAAUGAUGCAAAUCCUUUCAUUUGCAAACAGAUCAUGAACUGGCAGCCAUGUGGAAAGAAGACUAGACUGCGAAUCACUUAGGAUCCCACCCUCGGUUUAGUCUAGAAUACUCUGCGAAUCAGCUUUUUGGCCCUAGGUAGGAAAGAGACAAAUGGAAGCAAAAUAGCAAAAUGGUGAAGAGGAGGGUUCUAGAGGCAGAGAGCCCUGCAGUCCUGAGUCCUGAGUCCACCGUUUAACAGAGUGACUUUGCUCAGCCUGUGGAUUAUAAUGAAACUUGCCUGUUAUAGGAUCCAGUUUUUUAGGUGGUAGCAACAUGCUCAAGGAAGAUGCAGCCCCUUCCUCCAGCCUGAGAGAAUAAAGCAUCAUUGGCUUAUGCCAACCAUGGCAAUCCCAUUCCCCUUUUCUCAUGAUUGAUUUGGGAAUGGGCAAGUGACCCAGUUCUAACCAAUGAGACGAAAGAAAAAGUCUAUUGGUCAGCUUAUCUCAGAAGAUUUUUGUUUCCUGCUAUAAAGAGAAACAGUAAGUUCCUUCCUGCCUGACUUAAAUGCAAUUGUGUGCAAACAUGUUACUUGGAGCUACAGCAACGAUUCUGUGACCAUGAGGCAAUAAGCCAAGGACAAAGGAUAGAAUAGUGAAAAGACAGAGUAUUGGAUUUUUUUUAUGAUAUCAUUGAACUGCUGGACCAAUGUGGAACCAUCUACUUUUAGUCUUUCAUGAUUUGUGAGAUGAUUAAACAUUUCUUUUUUUUAGCCAUUAUUUCUUUUCUGUUACUUGCAACUGAAGACAUCCUACAUAAUACAAACACUAUCCAACUUGGAUUGUAAUUUAUCUAUUUUCAGAUCUGUGUGUUCUGUCUUACUGAUUUUUGUAUUCUUAGCACUGAGUAUAAGGCUGCUACUUAGUAAGACUUCAAUAAAUGACUGUUUAAAAAGGUCUUAGAGGAUUUAAAAAAAAUUCUGAAGUUGCUGAAAUAUGAAGACCAGGAACCAAUUUCAGGUUCUAUAAAUUUCUCGCUUCCUUCACUUCUGGAGUAGUCUUCAUUUCUGUCUGAUUCUACCUUUACUAAAAUGAAUGAAUGAUUGAGAAAUACGAAAAAUGGCUGGUAUAGUGGCUACUGCUGAGAAGUAUCUCUUGGAAAUUCCCGGAAAUUCCAUCAGUCACAUUCAGACCUAACUCUCUGAUGAUCAAUGUUUCUGAACUCAAACCAGUGUACAUAAGCAGUGGACUAUUUAAAGUGGUAUUAGCCUAGAAUAUCUAGGACCCAUGUUUUAUGCAUUCAGUAAGCGUUUGUUUAAUGUCUGUUAUCUACCAGGCACAUUAUUAUGCAUUGGGCAUAUAGAGAUGACCAACCACACGGCCUCAAUCCUUGAAAAGCUUACAGUAACCAAAUAGGGUUAACGGCCUAAAGAGAGGUAAUUACAAGUCUUACACUCAGUCUUCUUAGCAUAGUAUGGUGCUACCUCUGAGUUAAUUAAGAUAACAAAAUUCCUAGAUAUAUAUCUUUGAUGAAACGGUUUCCAUGAAAACUUUCCAAGUUUGGUCCCUCCCCGGCUGAGUUCAUUUUGGAAGGUGACUUUCUGCUCUCAUCACCUAAGGUCCUUAACACGUAUCCUGUGUUCUCCGGAGGCACCCCUUGCCCAGAGUGUGCCCUCUGCAUGGUUCCCCCAGAACACCUAUUUCAAAGGAAAAGAAGUUGGAUCAUUCAGUGAAGAUUUGGGGGGCCACUUUUCUACGUGGGAGGAUUAUGAGUAUUACCUUCCUCCCCUAUGUAUUAGUAAAUAUAAAGAAAACAUAAAUUAACCCCCUUUCUGGCUGGGCACGGUGGCUCACGCCUGUCAUCCCGCACUAUGGGAAUCCGAAGUGGGCGGAUCACUUGAGGUCAGCAGUUUGAGACCAGCCUGGCCAACAUGGCAAAACCCCGUCUCUACUAAAAUAUAAAAAUUAGCCAGAUGUGGUUGCACACAUCUCUAGUCCCAGCUACUCGGGAGGCUGAGGCACAAGAACUGCUUGAGCCUGGGAGCAAGGGUUGCAGUGAGCUGAGAUUGUGCCAUUGCACUCCAGCCUGGGUGACAGAGCAAGACUCUGUCUCAAAAAAAUAAAAUAAAAUAAAAAUAAUUUAGACCCCAUUCUUCUUAGAUAACCAUGACUUCUGAAGGAGGUCAGAGCUCUUGUGCUCUGCAUCUCUGCUCCAUCAGCCUCAAGGCCACCUUUCAGGUCCACAUGAAAUAUAAGUGCACAAAGGCACCAGACUUAGCAUUAUUAGUUUCCCCCACUGGUCUGAUUUUUGUAGAAAUUGCCAGGAACUGAUUUUCUGCCCUUCCUUCCUAACAGACAAGCCUUCCAGCCCUCCCUGACACAGCUCUUCCCUAUCUCCUACUCUCUGGUCAUCAAGCUUUUAGAGAUGCCCUGGCCUUCUCUAGUUGCCCCAGCUGUAUUUUUUCUUCUUGGGAAUGCGUUGAUUCCAGAGCCUGACUGGGAAUAAAUCUCAGCUCCUCCAUUUAGCAGUUAUGGGAUUCAAGUUACUCUUACUCCCAGGGACUCAGUUUCUGCACCUGUAAAAUGGAGAUUUACCACCUUUCGUUCCAGCAUUACUGAUAUUGUUUGGCUCUGUGUCCCUACCCAAAUCCCAUCUCGAAAAUUAAUCCCUAUAGUCCCCACCUGUUGAGGGUCCUGGUGGGAGGUAAUUGGAUCCUGGGGGCGGCUUUUCCCAUGCUGUUCUCGUGAUAGUGAGUAAGUUCUCACGAGAGCUGACGGUUUUAUAAGUGUUUGACAGUUUCUCCUUCACACGCUCUCUCUUCUGUCUCCUGCCAUCAUGUAAGAUGUGCCUGCUUCUCCUCCUCUCAUGAUUGCAAGUCUCCUGAGGCCUCCUCAGCCAUGAAGAACUGUGAGUCAAUUAAACCUCUUUCUUUUAUAAAUUACCCAGUCUUGGGUAUUUCUUUGUAGCAGUGUGAAAACAGACUAAUGCAAUUACCAUAAUGGGCUUUCAAUUGAUGAACUUGCAUCACUGAC
rnacentral:lncRNA from 1 species